CUGACGGUUCCGGGCCCCGCGAAGCUUAGUCCCUUCUUUGUCAAGCCAGGACCCGCCCACGGUCUAUUCAUAGGGUCCCAAACCACUUUGGCCACAACACCCCCAGACUGGUCCGAAGCCUCGUGAGUUCGCCCUGGUCGUUGCACUCCAGCCUGUCGCUGUGCAGACCUGGCUUAGAGGACCCCUAAGGCUGAGGGGUCACUUCCAGAACUGAGUCCGGUCCGCAGGUUCUGCUACGCUCCAGCCAGCCCCUAACUGGUCCCCAGAAGCGGCGCUGCUACAGGGACCAGGAGCUGCUGCGAACUGCGCUGGCGGGGGCUCGUCCUUGGGCGCGGGGCUUCAUCAUGGACACGCUCUCGGCCCAGGCCGCGAAACAAGCCCGCGUGACUGGCGGAGGCACAGAGACCAAGGCCGCUUAACCUGGCUGGUUGCACUGGUCCCUGGAGAGAGGGCGUCCCCUGCAGGAGAGCUUCAUGCGCCUGGUGGAGGCCUGUGGGGACUCGGAGCAAAGCAUGGACAACUGGCUGAGUCGGCUGGACGGCUGCCGCUGACUGUAACAUGUAAAGCAGGCACUGAGCACCACCUGCCUGGCAGUCCAGGGCAUGGAGAGAUGCCGUGUGAAGGGAGGACUCAGAUGCACUCCCUGUGGUCUGGGCUCAACCAGCCAAAAGAGCAACAAAGACUCCAGAACCCACUCUACCUCCUCAAUCCCUUGGCCAUCUGUGGAGCCCCAGAGCCUGCGGCUGUGGCAAGGUGAGCUCCACACCUUCUCCCCUGGGUAUUACCCCUCUGCUCAGCGUCCUGACCUGUCUUCCUCCUCCUCAGGCCUGUUUCUGCGCUGGACCUGCUCACCUGAGCCUGCAGAAGCUGCAUGGGGGAAGAGUGUGGCAAAUAGUGACAGGAAGGGAGAAGACAGAAGCCUCUCAGCCAACUGCUUCAGCCGAGCCCCUAUUCUAAGCACUGGCUCCUUGGAUAGCAGCUGAGAUGUUCCUGAAACCUCUGCAGGCCCCUUAGGACCUUUACACCUUGGAUGAGGGUGCCUGCAACCCAGGUUAGCCAAAAGUACUGAGGGUCUUAAGUUUGAAGUGUCCAAAGUAUAGGGAGGUCUCAAUAAUAAAAGUCUCCAUGAUCAGCAUCA
rnacentral:lncRNA from 1 species